CACGCCCUAAACGAUGUCAACUAGUUGUUCGGUGAGGAGACUCAUUGAGUAACGCAGCUAACGCGUGAAGUUGACCGCCUGGGGAGUACGGCCGCAAGGUUAAAACUCAAAGGAAUUGACGGGGACCCGCACAAGCGGUGGAUGAUGUGGUUUAAUUCGAUGCAACGCGAAAAACCUUACCCACCUUUGACAUGGUCGGAACCCUUUAGAGAUAGAGGGGUGCUCGAAAGAGAGCCGAUACACAGGUGC
rnacentral:rRNA from 1 species